AUAAUUCUAAUACCUAAGUGCUUUUGUACAGUAAACUCACACGUGGUUGUUGAUUUCGUUCUCCUUUUUAUGAAUCCGUGCCACAAUCGCUGGUGUCUGUGGACUUAACAACUUUACUCCUCUUGAGUCCGCAGAACACCAGUGGCACGAAUUACAUCUCAGAGCUCUUCUUUUCUUAUUUUGCGAUGGAAAUACUGCAAUA
rnacentral:lncRNA from 1 species